AUUGAACGCUGGCGGCAGGCCUAACACAUGCAAGUCGAGCGGAUGACGGGAGCUUGCUCCUUGAUUCAGCGGCGGACGGGUGAGUAAUGCCUAGGAAUCUGCCUGGGAGUGGGGGACAACGUUUCGAAAGGAACGCUAAUACCGCAUACGUCCUGCGGGAGAAAACAGGGGACCUUGGGGACUCGCGCCAUCAGAUGAGCAUAGGUCGGAUUAGAGAGGUGGUGGGGUAAUGGCUCACCUAGGCGACGAUCCGUAACUGGUCUGAGAGGAUGAUCAGUCACACUGGAACUGAGACACGGUCCAGACUCUUACGGGAGGCAGCAGUGGGGAAUAUUGGACAAUGGGCGAAAGCCUGAUCCAGCCAUGCCGCGUGUGUGAAGAAGGUCUUCGGAUUGUAAAGCACUUUAAGUUGGGAGGAAGGGCAGUAAGCUAAUAACUUGCUGUUUUGACGUUACCGACAGAAUAAGCACCGGCUAACUCUGUGCCAGCCGCCGCAGUAACAC
rnacentral:rRNA from 1 species